rnacentral:rRNA from 1 species
CAUGCAAGUCGAACGAGAGAUGAGGAGCUUGCUCUUCAAAUCGAGUGGCGAACGGGUGAGUAACGCGUGAGGAACCUGCCUCAAAGAGGGGGACAACAGUUGGAAACGACUGCUAAUACCGCAUAAGCCCACGGCUCGGCAUCGAGCAGAGGGAAAAGGAGCAAUCCGCUUUGAGAUGGCCUCGCGUCCGAUUAGCUAGUUGGUGAGGUAACGGCCCACCAAGGCGACGAUCGGUAGCCGGACUGAGAGGUUGAACGGCCACAUUGGGACUGAGACACGGCCCAGACUCCUACGGGAGGCAGCAGUGGGGAAUAUUGCACAAUGGGGGAAACCCUGAUGCAGCGACGCCGCGUGGAGGAAGAAGGUCUUCGGAUUGUAAACUCCUGUUGUUGAGGAAGAUAAUGACGGUACUCAACAAGGAAGUGACGGCUAACUACGUGCCAGCAGCCGCGGUAAAACGUAGGUCACAAGCGUUGUCCGGAAUUACUGGGUGUAAAGGGAGCGCAGGCGGGAGAACAAGUUGGAAGUGAAAUCCAUGGGCUCAACCCAUGAACUGCUUUCAAAACUGUUUUUCUUGAGUAGUGCAGAGGUAGGCGGAAUUCCCGGUGUAGCGGUGGAAUGCGUAGAUAUCGGGAGGAACACCAGUGGCGAAGGCGGCCUACUGGGCACCAACUGACGCUGAGGCUCGAAAGUGUGGGUAGCAAACAGGAUUAGAUACCCUGGUAGUCCACACCGUAAACGAUGAUUACUAGGUGUUGGAGGAUUGACCCCUUCAGUGCCGCAGUUAACACAAUAAGUAAUCCACCUGGGGAGUACGACCGCA